rnacentral:rRNA from 1 species
GAUGAACGCUGGCGGCGUGCCCAAUACAUGCAAGUCGAGCGAACAGACGAGGAGCUUGCUCCUCUGACGUUAGCGGCGGACGGGUGAGUAACACGUGGAUAACCUACCUAUAAGACUGGGAUAACUUCGGGAAACCGGAGCUAAUACCGGAUAAUAUAUUGAACCGCAUUGUUCAAUAGUGAAAGACGGUUUUGCUGUCACUUAUAGAUUGAUCCGCGCCGCAUUAGCUAGUUGGUAAGGUAACGGCUUACCAAGGCAACGAUGCGUAGCCGACCUGAGAGGGUGAUCGGCCACACUGGAACUGAGACACGGUCCAGACACCUACGGGAGGAAGCAGUAGGGAAUCUUCCGCAAUGGACGAAAGCCUGACGGAGCAACGCCGGGUGAGUGAUGAAGGUCUUCGGAUCGUAAAACUCUGUUAUUAGGGAAGAACAAAUGUGUAAGUAACUAUGCACGUCUUGACGGUACCUAGUCAGAAAGCCACGGCUAACUACGUG